AAGACUAUAGACCUGCGGAGUACCUGCGGAGGGAUCAUUACAGAGUUUUCUAACUCCCAAACCCAUGUGAACUUACCAUUGUUGCCUCGGCGGAGCCUACCCUGUAGCUACCCUAUAAGGUGGUUACCCUGUAGCGCCCCGCCGGUGGAUUUUCAAACUCUUGUUAUUUUUAGUAAUCUGAGAGUCUUAUUUUAAAUAAGUCAAAACUUUCAACAACGGAUCUCUAGAUCGGAAGAGCAC
rnacentral:misc_RNA from 1 species